GACGAACGCUGGCGGCGUGCUUAACACAUGCAAGUCGAACGGAGAAUUUGUUUCGGUAAAUUCUUAGUGGCGAACGGGUGAGUAACGCGUGGGCAACCUGCCCUUCAGAUGGGGACAACAUCCCGAAAGGGGUGCUAAUACCGAAUACGAUCACGCUGCCGCAUGGCGGUGUGAUGAAAGAUGGCCUAUAUUUAUAAGCUAUCGCUGAAGGAUGGGCCUGCGUCUGAUUAGCUAGUUGGUGGGGUAACGGCCGACCAAGGCGAUGAUCAGUAGCCGGUCUAGGAGGAUGAACGGACACAUUGGGACGGAGACACGGCCCAAACCCCUACGGGAGGCAGCAGUGGGGAAUAUUCCGCAAUGGACGGAAGUCUGACGGAGCAACGCCGCGUGAGUGAUGAAGGUUUUCGGACUGUAAAACUCUGUUGUUUAGGACGAAAGUGCCUGUUGCAAAUAGUUGCAGGUAUUGACGGUACUGAACGAGGAAGCCACGGCUAACUACGUGCCAGCCGCCGCCGUAAAAC
rnacentral:rRNA from 1 species